UUUUCCAUCCACUGGAGGCCUCCUGCUGGAGAUGGAGUUUGCCCUUCUCCUCCUGGCUGAAAUAAGCUCAGAGGGUCCAGUGAGACAUUGCUUAGAGUGGAGCUGCCCCAUCUGUUGAUCCUUAAUGCUGUGCUAGCAUCACCUUGGUUUAGUACAUUGCACUUCAGACCUGAAGUUGUAUCUUUUGUCUCUGAGCAUGUAAAGCUGUUAUUAUUGAGCUGUCUGGUAGACAUGGGGCUUUCUCCAGCAGGAUUAUAGAUGAUGGUGAGUUUGGUGGCACUCAGGACAAGCCAGAUGAUCCCCAUGAUCUGCCCUUUCUGGUUCUCUCCACACUGUUGUCUCCAGGACUUUUCCAGCUCUAGGAUGGUGUCUGGUCCUGGAUGCAGGACAUUCCCACUCUGGACUGUCCUCAGUGGGAGUGGCAAAACUCUCCUGGUGCCAAGGUAACACAGAGGAAUGAGUAACAAUUCCAAAUUAUGGCUGCUAUUAAUUUGAGAGACGUGCAUGUUGAAAAAACAAAGAAGGGGGAAUACGGCUCCUCAAGAACAUUUAGAUAAUGCAAUACUUACACAAGAAUUUUUGAAAGCAGAUCAUCAAUUUUGAUCCCCGACAGAGCGAUACUGCUCUGAAGAUUUGCCGAUACAGAACCUGUGGAGGCCAGAAAUCUGGCCAAGCAAA